CCAGCAGCCGCGGUAAUACGAAGGGGGCUAGCGUUGCUCGGAAUUACUGGGUGUAAAGGGUUCGUAGGCGGUGUGGCAAGUCGGGAGUGAAAUUUCUGGGCUCAACCCAGAGGCUGCUUCCAAAACUGCCGGGCUCGAGUGUGGCAGAGGCGCGUGGAAUUGCAGGUGUAGCGGUGAAAUGCGUAGAUAUCUGCAGGAACACCCGUGGCGAAAGCGGCGCGCUGGACCACUACUGACGCUGAGGCGCGAAAGCUGGGGGAGCAAACAGGAUUAGAUACCCUGGUA
rnacentral:rRNA from 1 species